AGGAAUUGUGCCAAUUCGUUCACCUGAUUGCUUUUGAUUACUUGAGCCCACAAGAAUUUUCUGAGCAGAUAAUAAUGGAAAUGCUGAUGAUCAUAGAUGAGUACCUCUAUGAAAUGGAGGUUUUAGGAACUUGCUGCCCAUUGUUUGCCUAAAAUUAUUGGUAUCAGUACCAUAAAGCAACCUGGCAACAGUAGCUUAAUAUUGCUAUACAGAGAAUAGGAAAAAAGAAACAAAAAUAAUAAAAACUAAGCCUUAAUCUCAGACAAUAGGAUAAAAGAAAAAAUGGAAAUAAAGCAAAUAAUUAGUAUCAUACAUGCUGUCUUAAUGAUAGUGCUAACAAGUUGACUUUUCCAAACAAGAAUAUGUUUGUUUAAUAUUUAAUGAAGUUGUAGCUUAAGGGUACAGUAUAUUUUGAGACUUGAAUGAAGGCAAAUUGCAUCCUGUGACAAAAUGUUAUGCUAGGAUGGAAUUGGAAAUGAAUACUGCUCUAAUUUUGAAAAGAUUCUUUCUUACUCCAAUUCUGAAAUUAAUUUUCUCAGAGUGAAGAAUAGAAAAUGUGUCCCUAUUUCACAAAGCUUCUGGCUUUGCAAGGGUCGAAGAUGUCUAUUAUACUUAACCUUCUCCUACCUUUUCUCUGAGAGGCCAUAUCCUCAGUGUGAAGAAUCUGGCGAAUUGGCCAUUAGCUUUACAUUUCUUUUUCUUGAUUUGUUUCUUUGAAAGGGG
rnacentral:misc_RNA from 1 species